rnacentral:rRNA from 1 species
UGGGGAAUUUUGGACAAUGGGCGAAAGCCUGAUCCAGCAAUGCCGCGUGUGUGAAGAAGGCCUUCGGGUUGUAAAGCACUUUUGUCCGGAAAGAAAUCCUUGGCUCUAAUACAGUCGGGGGAUGACGGUACCGGAAGAAUAAGCACCGGCUAACUACGUGCCAGCAGCCGCGGUAAUACGUAGGGUGCAAGCGUUAAUCGGAAUUACUGGGCGUAAAGCGUGCGCAGGCGGUUUGCUAAGACCGAUGUGAAAUCCCCGGGCUCAACCUGGGAACUGCAUUGGUGACUGGCAGGCUAGAGUAUGGCAGAGGGGGGUAGAAUUCCACGUGUAGCAGUGAAAUGCGUAGAGAUGUGGAGGAAUACCGAUGGCGAAGGCAGCCCCCUGGGCCAAUACUGACGCUCAUGCACGAAAGCGUGGGGAGCAAACAGGAUUAGAUACCCUGGUAGUCCACGCCCUAAACGAUGUCAACUAGUUGUUGGGGAUUCAUUUCCUUAGUAACGUAGCUAACGCGUGAAGUUUGACCGCCUGGGGAGUACGGUCGCAAGAUUAAAACUUAAAGGAAUUGACGGGGUCAUAGCUGUUU